CUAAGAAUCUUCCGCAAUGGGCGAAAGCCUGACGGAGCGACACUGCGUGAGUGAGGAAGGCGGAAACGUUGUAAAACUCUUUUCUAGAUGAGGAAUAAGCAGAGGAGGGAAUGCCUGUGUGAUGACGUUAAUCUAGGAAUAAGCCCCGGCUAAUUACGUGCCAGCAGCCGCGGUAACACGUAUGGGGCGAGCGUUGUUCGGAAUUAUUGGGCGUAAAGGGCACGCAGGCGGAUUUGUAAGUCUGGUGUGUAAGACCGCAGCUCAACUGCGGGAACGCACUGGAAACUAUAAGUCUAGAGUUUAAGAAGGGGAAUCGGAAUUCCAGGUGUAGGGGUGAAAUCUGUAGAUAUCUGGAAGAACACCAGUGGCGAAGGCGGAUUCCUGGCUAUAAACUGACGCUGAGGUGCGAAAGCGUGGGGAGCGAACAGGAUUAGAUACCCCCGUAGUCC
rnacentral:rRNA from 1 species